GUGGGAAUAGCUCAGUGGUAGAGCUGUAUGCUUAGCAUGCAGGAAGUCCUGGGUUCAAUUCCCAGUACCUCCA
rnacentral:tRNA from 1 species